rnacentral:rRNA from 1 species
GAUGAACGCUGGCGGCGUGCCUAAUACAUGCAAGUCGAGCGAACGGACGAGAAGCUUGCUUUUCUGAUGUUAGCGGCGGACGGGUGAGUAACACGUGGAUAACCUACCUAUAAGACUGGGAUAACUUCGGGAAACCGGAGCUAAUACCGGAUAAUAUUUUGAACCGCAUGGUUCAAAAGUGAAAGACGGUCUUGCUGUCACUUAUAGAUGGAUCCGCGCUGCAUUAGCUAGUUGGUAAGGUAACGGCUUACCAAGGCAACGAUGCAUAGCCGACCUGAGAGGAUGAUCGGCCACACUGGAACUGAGACACGGUCCAGACUCCUACGGGAGGCAGCAGUAGGGAAUCUUCCGCAAUGGGCGAAAGCCUGACGGAGCAACGCCGCGUGAGUGAUGAAGGUCUUCGGAUCGUAAAACUCUGUUAUUAGGGAAGAACAUAUGUGUAAGUAACUGUGCACAUCUUGACGGUACCUAAUGAGAAAGCCACGGCUAACUACGUG